UAUCGAUUUCAAAAUGUAUAUAAUUAUUCUACCACUAUUAGUCAGUAUCUAUCAUCUUCUAAUAUACAGAUGUAAGUCCCUUUCUUUCCAAUAUAUUUAUCCCUCUCAUUGAUUAUUAAAGCAUUAAUGCAUGAGAACCUGGGGAUUACCGUGUGAUAACUCGAUUUCACCUUGGGCCUAAGAACAGCCUUUAGUGGGGAGUUAUCACACGAUAAUCCCCGGAUUUGAGGGCAUUAUUGCUUUAUAAAGGGGUUGGCAACAUACAGUGAGCUCCAACAGUAUUGGAACAGUGACAAAUAUUUAGUUUUGGCUCUGUACUCCAGCACUUUGGAUUUUAAAAUGAUGUAAAGUACAGACUGUCAGCUUUAAUUUAAGGGUAUAUUCAGAGCUUUUUGUACAUAGCGUGUGCUGUUUGUUUUGGUUGCAUCUCCAAAUAAUGUUGUGCCCAAUAGAAAUUAAUGGUAAAUAAUGUAUUGUGUUACAGUAACUGAAAACGUUUGGGAACCAGUGGGCCCACACCAACCACACAUUUUCAAACCAAAUUAGAUUUCGAUGCCACUGCUUUCAACUGAGAGUAAACCCCUUUCGACUAUUUUUCUACAAAUACUGGAAAUGUCUUAUCUAUAUACAAGGUAUCGCAAUCCUCUACCAUAUCUAUUUCAUUUUUUUUCUAUACAAGUGUAGGAAGCCCAGCCGUGAAGCCGGGCAUCAAAAAAUUAGUUGAUACUCAUAAUGUUCCUCUCCACGGAAAUCUUUAGUAAAAGGCGAAAGAUUUAUGCGAUCUGAAGAGAAACCAGAGUGUACUACCGCUUUAACGAAACCAUUCCGACCGAGUUUUCUGCCUUACUCUUCACAGUCGUGGUUCAGUUAAAAACAAAGCAAAGCUAUAUACUGCGGAUAUAUCACACUCAUACAUUACAGUUCACCACUGCAAAUAAAUAGUGACGUUUGACAAGUUUCAACGCUUUGUAACUUCAUUAAUUCUUCACAGAAACGAAAUGCACGCUGGGCAUUAUAUAUAUCAUUUCCUGGUUUGAUCCAUUAAUUCGUAAAAAGUAUUUCAUCUGCAACGCCAGUGGAAUUUCAGCAACUAAGAAGAGCAAUGUUGGCGUAACAGUUUAGCCACCAUCAAAAGUCUACUAUCAAAAUUGGAAACGAUGUUACAUGUAUUUAUAUUUACCGACGGGACUAAAUACAAGGCUUCUACGUGGAGCAUGCGCCGUAGAGACCAGCAAGCAAUUUCUUCACAAGCCAGGCGAGAAGCAAGGAGCAGGGGUGGCAAAAAUGAUAUUCACAUCGGCAUUUAAUCGCUGGAUUUUACACAAUUGAUCGGGAACCAGUGUGUCCAGUGAGGGCUCACCCUAGGCGAGCCCACAACGGUCUGGCGCAACGUGGCCCAUCCUGCUCUCCUGAAUCGGCAUCGGGACCUGUCCUGGAUGGUUGCCCACGAGAUCCUCCCGGUCAGGGCCAUUAUGCACUCACGAGGGACAUCCGCGUGUCCCCGACGAGGCUGCGGCCAAGAAGAGUCGGUGAGGCACAUGCUCUGGGAGUGCAGAGCUGCCAGGGACCUGUGGAAGGAAGCAAGCACCCUGAUCACCACGUGUCUGCCAGCAGGGGAGGACCUAACAGGGGAGGACCUAUUCCAUCAAAGUUCUGCACUCCCUCCCCCCUGGUCCUCCUGCAACCUGCUGGUAGGGAAAAGCGUAGAGACCACCCCCCAGGGAGUGGCCCUGAAGUACAGAUAAGCCCCAAAAAACUAUAGAAGUAUAUUUUACAACACUGUAAAUUAGUGUCAUUUCGAGCCGGGUGCUUAACAAGUAGGCCGUAAGUAAGAAUGUGUACUUAACUGACUUGCUUAAACAAAUGUUGGCCUUACUAGAGGAUGAAAAUAGAUAUCUUCCGGGUAUGGCGAAUGCAACAACUUGACUACUCUAUUUUCCUCCCGGUCUAAGAGGGAUCCAAUAGAUCAAGCCGCCCAAUUCUACACAAUUCUCUGCAAUAUGAAUUUGACUUUGAACAAGUGUAGGAAGCCCAGCCGUGAGGCCGGGCAUCAAAAAAUUAGUUGAUACUCAUAAUGUUCCUCUCCACGGAAAUCUUUAGUAAAAGGCGAAAGAUUUAUGCGAUCUGAAGAGAAACCAGAGUGUACUACCGAUUGCUGAACACAGUUCAGUCCCAGUUCUCGGCCUUACUCUUCACAUUCAUGGUUAAAUUAUAAACAAACCCUACCUAAAAUCGCCGAUACAAUACAAACACAUAUUACAGUCCACCGAUGCAGAGAAAUACAUAAGUUUGACUAAGUGUCAAUGCUUUGUAAUUUCAUUCAGUCUUCACACAAACGAAAUGCACGCUGGGUAUUAUAUAAAUCACUUCCUGUUUGACCCAUUCAUUCGUAAACAUAAUUUCAUCUGCAACGACAGUGUAAUUUCAGAAACUAAGAAGAGCAAUGUUGGCGUAACAGUUUAGCCAGCGCCAAAAGUUUACUAUCAAAAUUGGAAACGAUGUUCAAUUUGUAAUAUUUGCAGAAGGGACGAAAUACAACGCUUCUACAUGGAGCAAGCGCAUGCGCUGUUGAGACCCGGAAGAAACUUCACAAGGCAGUGGUGAGAAGCAGGGACGAGGAGCGGCAAAAAAUGAUAUUCAUAUCUGCAACAUUGAAUUGCUGGGUUUAACACAAUUACAUGUAACCACUAUCUGCAACAAUGUAUCAACUUUGAAAUCUGAACGUAAUAGUUUGCAACAUGUAUUAUGGUACUAGGGGUUAACUAGCCCCCCCUAAGAACAAUGUCUAAUUGGUGACACAAAAAAAGCAAAGUUUGGAAAGAAAAUUGGUAUGUGAAUGAUGGUCAUACUUAGACGAAUAAACUAUCAAAUGGC